AGGAUUGAAGAUGGCUGAGUAUCUUGCCCUCUUAUUCCAGCCAAAUUUUUUGAAAAUUUGCUUCCUACUUUUCAUCGGUCAGAGUCCUUGUCCUUGGAUCUCCAGAUGACAAUUCAUAGUGUCAGCUAUAUUUUUUUUGUUCUCCAAGUUCAGGACAGUCACACAUGGCUCUACUUGGUCAUGGGCUUAAGACCUAAGAACAGGAAUUCUGCUGCCCAUGACCAUUUCCCUGUAUCAGUGAGUCUCACAAAGCCAUAAUCCAGCUUCUGGAACAAUGGCCAUGUGGUCAUGGUAUAGUAUUUUGAUUUUCACAGCAGGCUGGAAAGAGCAGCCCCAUCUAAGGUCAGUACACUUUAGAAAAUGU